UGGUCUGUGAUGACUAGUCCACUGCGCAAGCUGACUUAUGCCUUGGGCAUGGUUGGAGAUAGCAGUGCUGAGCAUCGUCUGAGACCA